rnacentral:piRNA from 1 species
UGGUCUGAUACAGGAAAAUUUCCAUGGCA